UUCCCAAAAAACUUAGGGUUUUUUCUUUUUUACCGAUUUUUAUACAAUAUCCUCCAUCGACCUUCAUUCUGUAUAGUUUCGUAGAUCUGCUGUCGUUCUAGCUGAAAAUCUUACUAGAGUUGCAUUAUUACAUCUCAUCCAACCCCCUCUCUCUUGCUCGUAGCUUUAUACCCGAAAAAGUAUGUUUUUGCCUAUUUUGUGUACGAUAUUCCUCGAUUAGCUUUAAAUCCAUAUAGCUUUUUCUGCCUUCGUCAAAGUUGCCGCUUCUGAACUCGAUUGAGGGGUGGUGGCAAGGGUUUUCGUUGAAUCAUUUUGGGAAUAUCGCUAACUUGAUAACGACACACGAAUUCAAAAAAGUAUUUCAUCGCAGUUUGAAAAGGAAAGCGCUUUCAGAAUGUUGAAAAGGGGAAAAAGAAAAUUAGAUGGAAUUGCGCACUUGAUAGCGGAGUGGGCUAGUGGCCUGUAUAAUAUGAUGACUGUAGUUGGCCUUGUAAGGAGAUUGAGCUAGUGCAAGUUCACGCCAAACAAUGAGUUAAGUCACAACAGGGUGUAUCAACUUGUGUUGUUGAUAAGGGAUUGGGCUAGUGGACUGGAUAAUAUUUGAUGGACUGAAGUUGGGCUAGUGCAACUUCAGUAUACUUCUAUAUUAGUGUUUACACAUGAUUGGGUGAACGAAGAUAUUGUCCAUGGAUGCAACCUCAAAGAAGAAAAAAAGAAAUAAGAAAGGUCUGACGUUCCAUCAUAUAGUGCCUUUUCGACUACAACUGGUGACUACACAAAGAAAUAUGAAUUAGAAAGUAAGUUUCUAGCAGGCUGUACAUCAUUCAUAACUGAAGGCUUUGGUGGUGACUGGUUCAUGCUUGCUGUUUUCAGAAAAGAAAAACACUAAAUGAUUUUGUCAGGUGCUUUGUCAUAAUGUGCCUCUUCGACUACAACUGGUGACUACAUAAAGAAGUAUAUGAAUUAAGAAGUAUGUUUCCUGCAGGCUGAUCUUCAUGCAUAACUGAUGGCUUUGGUGAUGACUGGUCCAUGCUUGAGUAUUUCAGACAAAAAUGAGAAAUGAUUAAGCCGGCUUCUCGGUUAUAUAGAAGAAAAGUAAACUGUAGGUAAACUGCAUAAUAGUGGGUGCUAAAGUUUUGCUAAAAGCCUGAAAAAUUGGCAUAAAUGUAGGAAUUUUGGAAAGAAGGGCUGAACUUCGAUCAACUGCCCAAUUUAGAAUGUUCAACCGAAAACCCCACUACCCAUGGUUAUAGGAUGCUAAAAUUGUGGAGAUCAUGGGCAAGAGUUGUGGAGAUCAUGGCAGCAAAGGUGGAGCUACCAAAACUGUCAGAAAACUUCCAUCAACCGCCACAAGAGCGGUUAUUUUUUGGAGUUUAAACGGCUGAGAUUUCAUCUCAGCAUGAUCUGACGGUGGAUAUCGAUUUAGAAAGUAGUUAGACUUAAUGGGUUUAAUGUAUAUAUAUAAUUAUUUCUUUUCAUUCUACCCAUUUUCUUUCAUCUCCUUAACUAAUUUUCUCUUCUUUUAUAUUUAUUAAACUUGACAACAGUUAAUUAAUUUUUUUUUCUUUUAUUUCGUUUAUUAAACUUGAGAAUAGAGUGUACCUGCAUGAAUGUGUGAUGAUGGGACCAUCGUCU
rnacentral:lncRNA from 1 species